rnacentral:rRNA from 1 species
UACGUAGGUGGCAAGCGUUGUCCGGAUUUACUGGGCGUAAAGAGCGCGCAGGCGGUCGUUCAAGUCGCGUGUGAAAGCCCCCGGCUCAACUGGGGAGGGUCACGCGAUACUGAUCGACUCGAAGGCAGGAGAGGGUAGUGGAAUUCCCGGUGUAGUGGUGAAAUGCGUAGAGUAUCGGGAGGAACACCAGUGGCGAAGGCGACUACCUGGCCUG